UGGGUAUACUAUAAUGCUUUUAACAGUGAUUAUUUUAUUUUAUUUUUUUGUGACGAGGUUUGAGUUUUUAUCUCAUGUCAAACCCUUUUUCUCUGUUUCUUAUCUUUCAAUCACGCUCCCCACUGACCCACUGAGUACCUCCACCCCGCAGGGUCUCUCGUUAUGAAGGUGCGCGGAGGUUUUUAUUUCAUUUAUUUGUUUAUUUUAAUGGCGCCUGCGUCGCGAUGACGUCACGCGGGGUGAAAUUGCCAGGCCUUUAAGAAGCGGCGCCGCCGUGAAAGCCGGAGCUUUUUCAUCUCACAUGGUACCGGAGGAGGGGGCUUGUGCAAACGCAAGCGAGAUUACCAGUGCGAUCAGAGAUUGUCGAUAAUUCGGGGAGAGAGAGAGAGAGAGAGAGAGAGAGAGAGAGAGAGAGAGAGAGAGAGAGAGAGAGAGAGAGAGAGAGAGAGAGAGAGAAAUCAGCAUUUGUCGUGUGACGUGUGAACACCAGGAAAGGCGAAAAAAGAGGACCUCGGUCAGACGUGUGUAUCCCACCUUCUUCCUUCCUUCAUGACGGGUUUGCUGACGGGUCCUGGUGUGGCUCUGUGCUCGCGCCCGCGUGUGUGUGUGUGUGUGUGUGUGUGUGUGUGUUUGCGAGCGCGCGCGCAGUUUCAGUGGCUUCGAUGCAACAGGUAGAUUUUCAUAAUUCAAGGACGUUUUCAGUCGGAAAUCCAUAUUUUCUUACUUGAACUGUUCUCUGUAGCUCGCAUUGUACUUCCCCUCUUACCCGAAGUGGUCAUAAGAAAGAUUGGCUGUGCUUUAUAAGUCAUACGUCUGCCAAAUUGCAUGAGCACUUAUCGUGGUCAUUAGUUUCCAUUCAGAUGGUGGAGGGACGUACCGCGCUGCUGUGCUUGGCCGUCUCUCCUUGCUGAGCCACAUCAGCAGUCGAGCAGUCUGUAAGGCUUUCAUCGCAUCUAGGGAUAUAAUUUCUCAGCUUUUAAUAAUGCAGUACUGUUCAGCAUGGUAGCCAUUAUUGUCCCUCCAGGACCUUGGCUGUAUAGUCUCAAGAGAACCAUAGUUUAAAUCAACAAGGCAUAUACCAGGAUGUGAGAGCUGUUCAUGCAAAUGAUAUUUAAACAGAUAAAUAGCUGUGGAUGAGCACAUGCCCAGAAGGCCACAAGAAUCCAAGAAAAAAAAAGAAAAAAACAGGGCCACCGGAUGAAUGAGGAGGAGAUGCUAACCUCACAAUUCUCUAUACAUGAGCUAAACAGAUUGCAUAAUUUCACUCUCAUCAAUAAUGGAAGGACAGAGG